CGAAAGCCUGACGGAGCAAGACCGCGUGAGGGAGGAAGGCUCUUGGGUUGUAAACCUCUUUUCUCAGGGAAGAAGCUCUGACGGUACCUGAGGAAUCAGCCUCGGCUAACUCCGUGCCAGCAGCCGCGGUAAUACGGAGGAGGCAAGCGUUAUCCGGAAUUAUUGGGCGUAAAGAGUCCGUAGGUGGUUUUGCAAGUCUGUUGUCAAAGCCCGCAGCUUAACUGCGGAGAGGCAAUGGAAACUGUGAGACUAGAGUGUGGUAGGGGUAGAGGGAAUUCCCAGUGUAGCGGUGAAAUGCGUAGAUAUUGGGAAGAACACCGGUGGCGAAAGCGCUCUACUGGACCACAACUGACACUGAGGGACGAAAGCCAAGGUAGCG
rnacentral:rRNA from 1 species